CCUUGAUAGCCACAACAUAAUUACAUAAGGAAAAAAAACAUUUCUGAACAAUUUAACUUAAAAAAAAUAAAUAAUCUUCUCAGUGUUAUUUGUGAAAACUAUUUUCUAAAAAAACAAUACAUAUACCACUCAAAUUCUUCGGCACGCCACACAAAUUCCACCACCAUUUCCACCAUUAAAAUGCACAGCCUCAGCCUUGUGCAUUUAGAAAAAAAGUCAUAAAAAAAUGACACAAAAACCAACCCCAAUUGAUUUGGAAAAUAAAGUGGAGAUCAAUUCCAGACAUCAAUAACUGAGUUUACAGUUCAAAAGGUUCCUCCACGGCAUCCAGAACGAGUGAAACGAAUCUUAUGUUAAAUAGAGACUACAAAACUUGAGUGUGAUCAACAUUCCACAGACUUGUAGUGUCUGCACCCUCCGACCAUUUGUUGAUGUGUUCGCUCUAAUCCUAGUCAAAAACAACAUUCAACAAUUCUAUAUCGACUAUAAAAAUGACGUCAGAGACUCCUUGCUCGCCACAGUAUUGGAUGCAGUCCGUUCGAGUGACAAUCAAGAUGUGCAAGUUUGUAUUACAAACAGAUUGCGAGGCAACAGUUGUGUGGAUAGAUAUAAGAUUUUAGAGAAAUUCAACGCCAACUUUUCUCAUAUUGGUCUGAAUUAUAUAUAAUUCGACUGAAUAAAUCUAAAUCUCUAACCAAA